AUGAGAAAAGCAUAACACAUUUCUUUAAUCAAAGUUUUAUAUGACAUGGGAGGCUUCAGAAAUGAAGACCUAAAGACCCAGGGAAAACUGUCUAUUUUUUUGCUUAGGAUCAAUGAAGAAUGGACAGCCGUGUAGAAAUGUGAUUGGACCAAAGGUUGUGAUCUAAUGGUGAUAGGUUGCAGGGGAAACCCAGCAAGGCCUGACUGUUCAGAUUCUUCUUGGCCUCUUUGUGUGGUAUUUCUUUCUCCUGGGUAUGCAGCAGGACCCCUCUGGAAUGAGGGUCUUAUGACCUGCUUUCAAGCAAGAUCCCUUUUUGGAAGGGAAGUUUUAUUUAAUCCAUGUGUUGAGAAGAGGAGGAUGCAGUUCAUAUAACCUGGAUAUUUAAAGAGUGAAGGGAGAAAGAAGAUACAGUAAAUAUGAAAUGAAACUUUCACAUAAUUCACACAUGUACCCAGAGUUGCAAGGAGAAAACAAAAGUAUUGGGCACCAUUUUCUUCUGAAGGCCAACUUGUGGAAACCCCAGGAGCUAGCUACCAUGUUCAGGAGGCUGACCCUCAUCUGGACUCUCUCUUAUGUCAGACUGUGGAAUGUAAAUUUUGGAAGUGCCAGGAGCUAUAGUUUCUGUCAUGUAUACAAAACUUCUCUGAAGUGAGAAAGACUGCAAUUGACAUACCAAGAAGAGCACAGACAGGACACAAAGGUAUAGUCUUGUCAGUGUUCAAGCUCCUGGUGCCACUUAUUUCUCUGAAUUACUACCCAUCCUGGGAUUUAAUUGUCCUAGAGUUCUUUGGGUUGCAUGAGCCAACAAAUGCCCACUUGUCCUAAGCAAGUAUUGCUUGGGUUUUCCAUCAUUUCAUCUUCUAUUCUAUACAGAAGAUUCAGAAGAUUUAACAAAGUCCUAGGUAUGAAUAAGGAAAUAAAUCUUAGGACAGAUUAUUUCCAGGAGCAGUAAUUAGAAAUAUUAAGCUGUAGCCAGACAUGUCCAUGGCAUGAUGUAUAGUUAGGAUAUGUAGCAUUGACCACAACACAGGUAUGGUGGUUUUAAAAAAUAUGUUGCAAAUUCUUUGACACUGAUUCUCUUUUCAUUAGGUCAGAUCUAAUUCCUUCUCCUUUUGACUAUGGACUUGACUUAGUGACUUGUUUCUAACAAAUAAAAUAUGAGAGAAGUGAUGUUAUAUAACUUUUGAGACUAGGUCUUAGAUAGUUUCAACUGGCCUUCUUUCUCAUGGAUCACUUGUUCUUGGAGAAGUUAACCUCCAGGUCAUGCAGACAGGCAAAGAACCUGGAGAGAGGCCUAUGUGGAGAGAAACCGAGGUCACCUUCAACAGCCAACACCAACUUGCCAGCUAUGUAAGUGAGCCAUCUUGAAAUGGAUCCCCCAGUCCCAGUUAAACCUUGAGAUGAUUGGUCAACAUCUUGAAUGCAAUCUUAUGAGAGACCAUGAGCCAGAGCUACCCAGCCAAGCCACUCCUGAAUUCCUAACCCACAGAGAUAAUAAAAUGUUUACAUUUUUAAGCUACUAAAUGUACGGGAAAUUUGUUGUAUAAUAAGAUAACUAAUACUAUGUCCAAGAUUUAGGGAAAUUACUUUGAAGAGGUUCGUCAAUUAGCAUCAGUCAUAAGUGACGGCAGGAGAUCCCAAAUAGGCAACUCAGUCAUAAAAAUAAUUGGAGUUCAUGAUUACAGGUUUGGUCCCCAGGAAAUAGAGCUCCAGGUAGAAAACAUUGUUAAUGAAGAACACAUGGGAAUAGAAUCACUUAAUCAUAUAAAAAGAGUGAUAGAAUAAUAUAAUGGCUAAGAUAAAGAGUUUGAGAGUUACACAGAUUUAGAUUCGGAUCUUGGCUCCACUAGUUUCUGUUUGAACUUAUUACUUGUCUGUAUUUUUUAGUUUUAUUUUGGGAUAGUUUUAGGCUUACUAAAAUGUUACAAAAAUUAUCAAAAGAGUACCUAUGUACUCGUCACCCAGCUUCCCCAAAUGCAUAAGAAUUUCGCAUAAGAAAAAACAAAACAAAACAAACAAUAACAAAAACAUAAGAUGCCUGGUACCAAGUCCCACGAGUGACUGAAAUCUCAAUUUGUAUUCAUAGAAAGUCUAUUCAUACCACCUUAUCCUGUUCCCUUUUUCUUGGUCCUACUUUUUCCAGGACACCUGGGUUGUCCUCUUCUCCCUUCUGUGCCAAACUGUCCUUUCCCAUUGAAAAUUAAUGUAUGCAGGCUCAUUUCUCUCUUUAAAAGAUGCAGUCAGGAGCUAAGAAGCCAGCCUGAAGUUUCUCAACCUCCGUUUCUUAACUCUUUAGCAAAAACAUUUCCAAAAUGAAAGACCCUCCUCCAUCAUGCCCCACACCAAGAAAAUGUGAGAAAUGGAUCAUAAAUUUCUCAGAAAAAUGAUAAUUCAAGAAAUUUCA